rnacentral:rRNA from 1 species
CAACGAGCGCAACCCCUUGCCUUUAGUUGCCAUCAUUCAGUUGGGCACUCUAGAGGGACUGCCGGUGUCAAACCGGAGGAAGGUGGGGAUGACGUCAAGUCCUCAUGGCCUUUAUGCCCAGGGCUACACACGUGCUACAAUGGGCGGUACAAAGAGCAGCGAGCUCGCGAGAGUAAGCAAAUCUCAAAGAGCCGUCCUCAGUUCGGAUUGGAGUCUGCAACUCGACUCCAUGAAGUUGGAAUCGCUAGUAAUCGCGGAUCAGCAUGCCGCGGUGAAUACGUUCCCGGGCCUU